CCUACGGGAGGCAGCAGUGAGGAAUAUUGGUCAAUGGACGAGAGUCUGAACCAGCCAAGUCGCGUGAAGGAUGACUGCCCUAUGGGUUGUAAACUUCUUUUAUAUGGGAUUAAAAUGUUCCCCGUGUGGGAUUUUGUGUGUACCAUAUGAUUAAGGAUCGGCUAACUCCGUGCCAGCAGCCGCGUUAAUACGGAGGAUCCGAGCUUUAUCCGGAUUUAUUGGGUUUAAAGGGUGCGCAGGCGGAUUUUUAAGUCAGCGGUAAAAUCGUGGGGCUCAACCCCAUCCAGCCGUUGAAACUGGGGAUCGAGAGUGUGCGAGAGGUAUGCGGAAUGCGUGGUGUAGCGGUGAAAUGCAUAGAUAUCACGCAGAACCCCGAUUGCGAAGGCAGCAUACCGGUGCACAACUGACGCUCAGGCACGAAAGCGUGGGUAUCGAACAGGAUUAGAUACCCGAGUAGUC
rnacentral:rRNA from 1 species